rnacentral:lncRNA from 1 species
AACUUACUACCUAACCUUUUUUCAUAUUAACGUGGUGCUGAUUUUACUGAUUGCAAUGCUUUGAUUUCUCUUUUAUCCCUGCUCUUAAAAACGUAUCUUUGAAAGUAAUCUGCAAUCACUUUUUCUUUUCUUUUCUUUUCUACAGAUUAUACUUUUAUUUGAUACUUAUAUAAAUAAUUUAUUUCAUAUUAGUUUAACACUUCAACUUAUUAACUCAUUUUAGAGAAAGUAAAUGUCAUAUCUUGUUUCUGAAUAAAAUCACAACCUAAUUUUCUCUGCUGAUUUGCUUUUAUUCUAGUUUAAUGUUUUUAUUAAUAGCAAAUAAAUAUAUUUUUGCUGAUUUACUUUUAUUUUAGUUUAAUGUGGCGUAAACAUCACGUAAUGGCAAAUAAAUUUAAUUUUAGUUUAUCAUGUACUAGUAUAAUUAUACUUCUUUUCUUUUUGUAGGCAAACAAAUGUUAAAUUUUUUUUUAAGAUAUUUAAUCUACUUAUUUUUUUGUAUAUAACACUUUCUUUACAAUGUUUUAGUAGUAAGCUACCAGUAGAUUUUUCUCUUUCCGGCAUCAGGGUGGUAGGUGGUGUUGGAAAAUAAAACAAAAAAUGAAGGAAAAUAAUAUACGAAGAAGAUGCACAGUCUUGAAUUAAAUAACAAAAUAGCAGUAGCGAAUUAAAUUUAAUUAACAGCACAUGAAUAAUGCAUUAUAACAUAAAAUAAGCACAAGAAAAAAAAAUUAAGGGAAGAAAGAUAUAGCCUGGGUUGAAGCGCAUAAACGCUAUCCUUAGAGAGAAAACGCCCCCACUGCACGGGUAAGAAAUUCUGAUUGCGCUCCUCUCCCAAGAUACGACAACCCGUUGGUUCCGAUCGUGUGCAGCGAAAGGAUCCCCGAACCUUAUGAACACCAAUGCUCUUGCUCUCACAAAAAUUAAGUUUUGUAUAGGAAAAGAAAGAGAUAAAUUGUUGGCAGAAAGAAACCACAGCUCUCAGUCUAUCAUGUCUAGAAAAGAGGAAAGAGAUAUAUAUAUAGGCAUUUUGCAACAACAAGAUAUGACCGUUGGAAAACCAACCUACAGUUGUCAAAACAAAUCUAACAAACUAGUUUGACUCAUUAAAACAAAAUCUUAAAAAAAUCUAAAAUAAAUAUUUUAUUUUAUAAAAUAGAAUUAAUAUAUAUUUAUAAAUUUUAAAUUAAAACACAAAUAUUUAUCAACAUUCCCCCACAUAAUUUAAAAUUUUAAAAUAUAUUUUCUGAAAGAUAAUUUGUAUAAAAAUAUAAGAGAAAGAGCAUGUGAUAUUGUAUUUCGGUAUAAGGAACCUUCUGGGUUUGAGCCUUAUACCUAGUGUUUAUGAACUUCCAUCCGAGAAAAAUGUAGUAACUUGAUUGUCUUGAACUACAUAUUCUUUAACCGGACUUUAGUACACAACCCCUACAAUAUUGGUGUUCAAUUAGGUUCUAAUCAGUGGUAGCGCGUUACACGGCCUUGCGCUUGUAUCUUGUUUCGUGAGUGUCCUUUAGAGAUUAGCCCAUAUCUCACAGUGGCGGCCCCACCACCACACUCACUAGGUGAAUCCUCAAAGAGUGGGUUGUGACCCCCACCCCUACAAUAAUUGUCAUCGGAUUCAUUAAGAGGUAUUUUUUUUUUAACCAAAAAUACACAUAUAUAAAUACCUCAACCUUAAUAUUGCCACAAUUUAUAAUACACCUCGUCAUAGGAAUGAGAAACGGAACAGCUCCGUCAAAUUUCAUUUUGGUGUACUUUAGUCAACAAACAAUUUCGUUGUUACCCGUUGAACUCCAUUCAUGGGAUCACCAAUCACACGGAGACGGGUGUCCAUUGUUGUAACUAAAUAAUGGGCUUUAAUCUCAUUCCCCUCGACGACUCAAGUACUUGUUGACGCAUCAACCCUUUUGUAAGCGGAUCCGCAAUAUUAUUUUUUGACCUGACAAAGUCAAGAGAAAUGACAUCAUGAGAAAUCAAAUUUCUUAUAGACUUAUGUCUCACUCUUAAGUGUCUUCUUUUUUCAUUAAAAUUUUGCUUGUCACUUUAGAUAUAGCAAUUUGACUAUCACAAUGCAUUGAAAUUGGAGGUAUAGGCUUAUUUAACAAUGACAAAUCACAUAAUACAUUUUUAAGAAAUUCAGCCUCACUAGUAGCAGUAUUUAAAGCAAUAAUUUUUGCUUUCAUGGUAGAACGUGAAAUAAUAGUUUGUUUAGCAGAUUUCCAUGAUACUGCACCACCAGCUAAAGUAAAAACAUAACCACUUGUUGAUUUUGUUUCAUCAGAAUCAGAAAUUCAAUUUGCAUCACUAAACCUCUCAAUUACUGCAGGAAAACAUGUAUAAUGAAUGCCAUAAUUGAUGAUUCCUUUUAAGUAUCUAAAAACUCUUUCUAAUGCAAUCCAAUGAGAAUGAUCAGGAUUAUUAGUAUACCUUCCUAAUCUACCAACUGCAUAUGCAAUGUCAGGCCUAGAGAAGUUUGUCAAAUGCAACAAAGAACCGAUAAUUUGAGAAUAUUUAUGUGAAGAAAUUCCUUUACCCAAAUUUUUCUUUAGCUUGAUGGAUGAGUCAAAAGGAGUAGAAACAUGUUUCACAUCAAAAUAAUUAAACUUCUUUAAUAUAUAGAUUUUCAACAUAAUAAGAUUGGAUAAAAAAUCAUACCAUCAUUUUUUUUUUCUAUAAGCUUAAUACCCAAAAUCACAUCUACACAACCAAGGUCUUUCAUAUCAAAAUUUCUAGACAAGAAAAACUUCACAUCAUUUAUGAAAUUCAUUUACUACCAAAUAUCAAUAUGUCAUCCAGAUACAUAAAAUGACGCAUCCAUUAUCAUCAAAUUGUUUCACAUACACACAUUUAUCACUAUCAUUAAUUUGAAAAUCAUACAAAAGAAUAACUUAAUCAAACUUUCGUGUCAAUGCUUUGGAGCUUGUUUCAAACCAUACAAAGAUUUAACAAUUUAUUUUUCAAGAAAAAAUAUUUUCAAAGAAAGUCACAUCUAUAGACUCCAUAAUAGUACCAUUAGAAAUUUCAGAUACUUCGGAAUUAAUAACUAAGAAUCUAUAAGUAGUAUUAUGUAAAAAAUAUUCAACAAAAUAUAAUUAAUAUUUUUUUUUAAUUUUCCUUUUCUUAUUAAUAGGGAUAUUAACCUUUACUAGACACCCCCACACUUUAAGAUAUUUCAAAUUUGGUUCUCUUUUUCUCCAUAGCUCAUAAAGAUUUUUAUUUUUUUUUGGUUUAUAAGGUACUCUUUUAAGAAUACGACAUGCAAAAUAUAAAGUUUCACCAAAGUGUUUAUUUUAUUAUUUUUGUGUGUUAUAUUUUUCACAGGCUUAUCUUUUAUCAAUGAGUUAUAAAUAAAGAGACAAUCAGUCAACAUGUAACAACAAAAUACUUGCAGUAGUAAUAAUAACGUUAAACAAUAAAAAUUAAAAACCAAACAACAAAUGUCCUGAUUUUAAAGACUUGUGUUCACUGGAUCAUUUGACCAAGUAAAAGAUAGUUUUCUAAUCAUAUAGGAAUGAAAUUAGAAGUAUGGUUUUAGUUUUUCACAUAAACUAAUUCUAAAAGCAUUUUCUCUUCAAAACCGUCAUUAAUAAAGAAAAUAUAUUUUAAAUUUCAAAUUAUAAGAAAAUAUUUUUCAAUAAUCUCUCACUAAUGUAAAAUUUAAGGAAAUGAAAUAAUAUAAUAAAACAUUUUUAAUAAAACAUAAUACAUUGUGUUUUCAUCCAUUAAUUUUUCAUGCUUACUAGAAAGGAACUUAAUCAUAUCCAUUAUAGAUAUUUUGAUACAACAUCAUGCUACUGCACAAAAAACUAUGCAAGAAGAAAGUAUAAAACAUUUUCUCUCUAAAAUAAUUUUUCUCUCUAAGACUGUUGGAAAAUAAAAUAAAAAAUGCAAGAAAAUAAAUAUGAAGAAGAUGCACAGUCUUGAAUUAAAUAACAAAAUAGCAGUAGCGAAUUAAAUUUAAUUAACAGCACAUGAAUAAUGCAUUAUAACAUAAAAUAAGCACAAGAAAAAAAAAUUAAGGGAAGAAAGAUAUAGCCUGGGUUGAAGCGCAUAAACGCUAUCCUUAGAGAGAAAACGCCCCCACUGCACGGGUAAGAAAUUCUGAUUGCGCUCCUCUCCCAAGAUACGACAACCCGUUGGUUCCGAUCGUGUGCAGCGAAAGGAUCCCCGAACCUUAUGAACACCAAUGCUCUUGCUCUCACAAAAAUUAAGUUUUGUAUAGGAAAAGAAAGAGAUAAAUUGUUGGCAGAAAGAAACCAGAGCUCUCAGUCUAUCAUGUCUAGAAAAGAGGAAAGAGAUAUAUAUAUAGGCAUUUUGCAACAACAAGAUAUGACCGUUAGAAAUAUGACCGUUGGAAAACCAACCUACAGUUGUCAAAACAAAUCUAACAAACUAGUUUGACUCAUUAAAACAAAAUCUUAAAAAAAUCUAAAAUAAAUAUUUUAUUUUAUAAAAUAGAAUUAAUAUAUAUUUAUAAAUUUUAAAUUAAAACACAAAUAUUUAUCAACAGGUGGGUGUUUCAUAGGGCCAAAGGAGAACUUUUUAAUGCUGAUGCUAUUAAUAAAUAGAUGUAUAAUUGAGUCUUGACUCUUAAAGAUGGUUGGUGGUUGGUGCUAUUGUCAUUACCUAAUGCUAUAGGAUAUUAGUAUUAACAUUUAUAUACGCACGCCUGUAUUUACGUGACAAUUAAAACGAGUGUCUUGCUUGCAUUCACUCCUUAGACAAAAUUUUGUUUGAGAAAUUGAUGAUUAUCUGAAUGCGUGCAUGGUUUGGUCAUGAUUUUGCAGUCAGAAAUCCUCACGAGAUACCACCACCAACCCCAUGACCUCAACUACAACAUCGCCAGGGUCAGGGACAGUGACAGGAACAGGAUCCGAAGGGGCAGUGGUGUACACGGGUGCAGACAACGGCGUUGUGUAUAAUACAGUUACGGGUUCCGGCUCAAGUUCAGUAACCGGAGGAGAAACAAUGCUCCCAGAUGGGUCAUAUCUAGCUGGUUUAGCCAUGGGAGACUCACCUAGAAGAACAGCUUCCACCGCUAGCUUUUUGCUUAUUCUCUUCCUACUGCUUUAGCUGCUGCACCAGCAUUGUAGAUUUUGUUUGUUUGUUAAAUGUAAAUGGCUCUUAGAUUUUCGGGUUUUUCGUGGUGGGUUCAAGAAUUUUGGCUUUGCCAGUAAAGCCUGCAGAUUCUCACUCAUUGUAAACCACCCGCCCAAAGAUUCGCCAGAAAAAAUAUUCCGUGUUUCAUUCGUUGAAGUGCUUGUUUUUAUAUUAGUAUUAUCAAUCUUGGGAGCAUUUAGCUCCCCCAUCCAAGCUUUUUUGAGCUUCUAUGAUUGUUGUGGUUUAAAAAAAGCUAACACAUUUCUGCAAUUUUGGGCUGGCUUUGUGGGUUUCACAUGUAUGUUGGCUAUGGCUUUUAAUUUGGUUUCUCAAUUCUCACCAACGACAAAAGCCAGAUCUUUUUGCAUGAUGUGAACUAUCUGUCAAGUGUCUCGUCUUCCGUCUGAAUUAGGAUUCACUUUGCG